ACAGGCUUGCACCACCAUGCCCAGCUAGUUUUGUUUUUUUUUUUUUUUUUUUGGUAGUUUUAGCAGAGGUGGGGUUUCUCCAUGUUGGCCAGGCUGGUCUCGAACUCCCGACCUCAGGCAAUCCACCCACCUUGGCCUCUCAAAGUGCUGGGAUUACAGGCAUGAGCUGCUGCGCCCAGCCAUUGUAUAUUUUAAAAUAAUUGACAACUGGACACACUGACUCAUGUCUGUCAUCCCAGAGCUUUGGAAGGCCAAGGCAGGAGGAUCACUUGACCCCAGGAGUUUGAGACUAGCCUGGGCAACAUAGCCAGACUUCAUCUCU
rnacentral:lncRNA from 10 species